rnacentral:snRNA from 1 species
AUACUUACCUGGCAGGGGAGACACCAUGAUCAGGCAGGUGGUUUUCCCAGGUGUUCUCUUUCGGUCGUUGGACACUGGUUGGUUCAGGUGGGGAGGACGAUAGAUUCUCUUCAAGUUGGUGAACCUUUUCAGAAAGUUUCUCCAC